AGAGCUGAGAAUUGUUGCCUUCAGGAAAAUACAAUCAAUGUCAAGCAAACAACCACCCCAAAAUGGAAUGUCAGCCAUUAACCUCACAGUAGGUGAUGAAAAGAUAUUACUUUUUCUCCCCUAUACUACCCAAGCCAGCCACCUCAAGAAAGAACAGUUCAUGUGCAGGUGACCAUGUAGUUCAAGUCAUCAUUAAAUCCAAAGCUGAGCAGCCAUGAUGCUAUUGGUGGAAUUGCCCUUGACCAAGAGAAAUCCAUCUUGAUUGUCUCAAUAAUCGGCUCAAGGGCCAUUGAUGAUGAGGUCCUAAAUUUAAUUCCUAAUAAAACCCCUAAAGUUUUAGAGGCAAAAUGAGAAAGCAUAGCUCACAAAUGCCUUGUGACCAAUGACUUGCGGAACCAACCCCUCCUCUUCUUCCUCCCCCUCAGCCUAUUCAACGUGAAAAAGAUGAGGAUGAAGACCUUUAUUAUGAUCCACUUCCAAGUAAUGAACACACUGGAGAAAGUCAGACAGUCAAAACAAUGUCCCAGACUCCGUGAAGUUCCUGGGUAGAGAAGGAGACAGACAUAUACCAUACCUAAUAAUUGGAUGUCCGAGAGAAUGAGAGAAUGGCAGAAAGAACUUUAGAGCAUGGGUAUGAUGGCUAGAGCUUGAGCAGCCAUUGUGGACAUCAGAUGAACUUGAA
rnacentral:antisense_RNA from 1 species